CCCUUAGAUGUCCUGGGCCGCACGCGCGCUACACUGAGUGUCUGAGAUACGAGUCUGCCUGGUCCGGCAAGGUCUAGGUAAUCGCUAAAAGACACAUCAUGCUUGGGAUAGAUUAUUGCAAAUAUUAAUCUUGAACGAGGAAUUCCUAGUAAGCGCAAGUCAACAGCUUGCGUUGAUUACGUCCCUGCCCUUUGUACACACUGCCCGUCGCUACUACUGAUUGGAUGUUUAAGCGAGGUUCUCGAACUGCUAGCGACUUAGCUUCGGUGAGGUCGCAGUGUGGGAAGUGAACCUAGCUUUGGUGUCUAGAGGAAGUAAAAGUCGUAACA
rnacentral:rRNA from 1 species